CAGGUCUGGACGCCCACGGUCCUCGCAGCAUCGUCUCCGUUCCCAACUCGGCCGGAGCGGAACCGACUCCGUCGGGGAACCGACGAUCACCUACCGACCUGUGCUCCCUAUAAAGCCACCCGACCCCCGGAUCUCUUCCUCACCGUGGAAUAGAAUCGGUAGGCAUGGUAUAGGGGGGGCUUCCCCUAGUCGCUUGCUCCAUCGUGUCGUGGUGAACUGGUGAACUGCCCGUAUAGCGGGAGCCGAGCCAAGGCGGCAGGGGCGGCCGGAGGCGGGGGCCGAGCCCAGGCGGCAGGGGCGUCCGGCGGCGGGGGCCGAGCCUCUAUACGGGCUCGGCCCCCCCCCCCCCCCCCCCCCCCCCCCUAUACGGGCUCGGCCGGAGGCGGGGGCCGAGCCCAGGCGGCAGGGGUGGGUUUAUCGCUUAUUUCCGCUAAUACGCGGGAUAAGCGGGUACAAACAGGGCCCUAGUCGCUUGCUCCAUCGUGUCGUGGUGAACUGGUGAUGGGUAAGUCGUAGGUGAGCCAGCCGCAGUUAUUUUCGAUCUCAUGUUUGUUUUGUCGAUUGGUUGAUCAGGUGCGCGGGCUAGCCGGAUAGAUUGGGUUGCUUGUACUUUGCGGUGCUCGAUCCGUUCGAUUCCAGGUCUAGGUUGGAUGAUUCCCCUGCUUCCCCCAGGAUCCCUCUGUUUGGGGAAAUAGUUUUGUGUUGAUUUGUGACUAAUUACUAUUUGUUGAUAUCUAAGGUUCUGCAGCUCUUUUAUUUCGAUUUCUGUUCAAGGUCAGAUCGGUUUUAAUUGGGUAGCACGGAAAAUUUGGCUUGGCCGAAACAGGAUAACCUGAAGGGUUUGGUCUGGAUCUGUCUUUGGUUUGCAUGAUGAUUGGUCUGAUCAGGAUAAUUUGUUCGUACGCCUAAUUUUUGUGAUGGAAACUGUACCUGAUACUUGUUAUUGGAAUAUGGAGGCAAGUGGAGUGCUCAGAAUUCUACGGUUUUUGCAUUUGGCAUGUUCCUCUCAUGGUAGUCAGUCUCAUCAGAAGGUUUAGUUAUGAUAAGAUAUGGCUGCGUAGGUGUGUUUGGAAUUUACAAGUAUAUGGUGUCAAUUUGCUGUUUAUUUCGGCAAGCAGUAUUGGUCGGCUUAUUUGGUGCUGGUUGUGAGGUGUAUACAGAUCCAUGCACUGUAUGAAUCAUGGAUUCAUGGUUGCAUAGCGAUGCUUUAUUUGGCUGUUAGAACAAGAUUUUGAUUCAGUACUAUUGACAUACUCAUGAAGGUGGCUUGUUGUUCUAUCAUUAUCAAAUUGUUGUUCUAUCAUUAUCAAAUAGUCAGCUCAAUUGAAAGGUUCAUUUCAAGGAAAUUCAGAAUGUGGGUUUUAUAAUUGCUAUAUCUGUGCAGUGUAGUUUAGUGCUAGCUACAUGUGAAGCCAUCUGCUGGAAGAUUCUUCUAAGUACUAUUCUUGCUUUGAGGGCCAUGGAUGUAUGCUCUAAGUUGUGGUUUUCUUACUGAUGUGCUACUGAUGUGCUACUGAUGCGUGUUUAUCUGGUGGUACCUUAAGGUCUUCUGUCAGAUUAUGGUGUAGUGCUUUGGUCUGAAUCUCCUAGUCCUCUGGUGAUACUUCAGUCACAUUGUUUUGAAUGAAUCUUGGAUUUGCGGACUCUACUAGAUUUCAGCUUCUUAUCAUCUUAUGUUCCUUCAGUUACUGGACCAUGUGCCGGUUUCAGUGCCAGCUUCCUUCUGUUGUAACUUAUGUUUGUAUGUGUACUGUUAACCAAGCAUCUUCUCUAUGUCGGGAGUUGUAUUUGUGUAAUUUCAGUAUAGAAGGAUUUGUUGUAACCACUAUGUAUUAUUAACAUCUGGUUGUUUUGCAUAAUUCUUGGAGCAAUAGAAUUCUAACCUGAACUCUGUUUCAAAAG
rnacentral:lncRNA from 1 species